GACGAACGCUGGCGGCGUGCUUAACACAUGCAAGUCGAACGGAAAGGCCCUGCUUUUGUGGGGUGCUCGAGUGGCGAACGGGGGAGUAACACGUGAGUAACCUGCCCUUGACUUUGGGAUAACUUCAGGAAACUGGGGCUAAUACCCGAUAGGAGCUCCUGCUGCAUGGUGGGGGAUGGAGAGUCUCGGCGGGUGGGGCUGGACUCGCGGCGUAUCAGCCUGCUGGGGGGGUAGAGGAUUACCAAGGGUUUGACGGGUAGCCGGCCUGAGAGGGUGACCGGCCUCACUGGGACGGACAUUCGGCCCGGACUCCUACGGUAGCCAUCAGUGGAGAGUAUUGCCCAAUGGGCGGAAGCCUGAUGCAGCAACGCUGCGUGCGGGAUGUCGGCCUUCGGGUUGUCCCCCGCUUUCGCUGGUGACGAAGCGUCAGUGUCGGUAACGAGUAAAGAUGGCUCGGCUAACUACGUG
rnacentral:rRNA from 1 species